CCCCUCUCAGGGUCGCACCUGGAGAGUUCCCAGUAUUCUACCGGUCUCGAUUAUGGGAAAGACAGUCAAGCAGAGGCCUACCCAUUCCAUUCCUAGCUUGGGCAGUGGCUAACGAGUGGAAGGCAAUCUGCUACAAGU